rnacentral:lncRNA from 1 species
AUUACUUAAAAAAUUCUGAAAUUAAACCUAUUUGUAAAGUUUCAUAACGUUUUGGGCCAUACUAUAGUUUUUAUAAAGUUUUGGGGUCAAACUAAAAAUAUGAAAAAAAUUUCACUGUAGCAGGUUACUGUAACAAGCGGCUUACCGGAUACUGAUAAACGGCAAACCGAUUUCGGGGCAGCAAGCACCCAGAACGAAAACGGCUUACCGGAUUCCGAAUCCGGCAAGCCGGUUAGGCAAAAUUUUGAAUUUUGCCUUAACGGUAACAUAAAUCCGGCUUACCGGAUUCCAUAAAACGGCAAACCGGAUAGCCCAGAAUGUGAGUAACGGCUAGUUUUCGAGCUCAAGCUAUAAGAACUCAAAUCCAACUCAUUUUGAAGCUCUCCAACAAGCAAAAACAAAAAGCACACGUGAUAUCUUGAGCCUUCAACUUGUCAAACACAAAACAUUGAAUCAUUCAUUGUUCUUCAUCAUUGUAUAUCUACUCAUUGAGUGAGAUUUAUUGUAAUCUUCAUUUCUUCAUUUCAUUUGUAAGAAUUUGAGUGUGUGAAACACUUGAGUGAAGAGAUUGGGAGAUAAUCUCUUCGUUGUAAAGGUUUAUUGACACCUCGAAGUCAAUUGUAAUCAGUUGAAGCCUCGGAAAGGCUUGGAUAGUGAAAUCCUCAAGCUUGGAUUGCUUGGAGGCGUGGACGUAGGCGGGGAUUGCCGAACCACGUAAAAAUCCGUGUGUUUGUUUCUCUUCUUCCUUACUCUUUA